rnacentral:tRNA from 1 species
GGGGGUGUAGCUCAGUGGUAGAGCACUUGCCUAGCACAUGCAAGGCCCUGGCCUGCAUCCCCC